rnacentral:rRNA from 1 species
UGCCUAAUACAUGCAAGUCGAGCGAAUGAUGAAGAAGCUUGCUCUUCUGAUUAGCGGCGGACGGGUGAGUAACACGUGGGCAACCUACCCUAUAGAUUGGGAUAACACAGGGAAACCUGUGCUAAUACCGAAUAAUACAUUUUCUUUCAUGAGAAGAUGUUGAAAGAUGGUUUCGGCUAUCACUAUAGGAUGGGCCCGCGGCGCAUUAGCUAGUUGGUGAGGUAAUGGCUCACCAAGGCAACGAUGCGUAGCCGACCUGAGAGGGUGAUCGGCCACACUGGGACUGAGACACGGCCCAGACUCCUACGGGAGGCAGCAGUAGGGAAUCUUCCACAAUGGGCGAAAGCCUGAUGGAGCAAUGCCGCGUGAGUGAUGAAGGAUUUCGGUUCGUAAAACUCUGUUGUAAGGGAAGAACAAGUAGCGUAGUAACUGGCGUUACCUUGACGGUACCUUAUUAGAAAGCCACGGCUAACUACGUGCCAGCCGCAGC